rnacentral:rRNA from 1 species
AGAGAAGCUUGCUUUUCUGAUCUAGUGGCGGACGGGUGAGUAACACGUGAGCAAUCUGCCUUUCAGAGGGGGAUACCGAUUGGAAACGAUCGUUAAUACCGCAUAAUAUAAUUGAACCGCAUGAUUUGAUUAUCAAAGAUUUAUCGCUGAAAGAUGAGCUCGCGUCUGAUUAGCUAGUUGGUAAGGUAACGGCUUACCAAGGCGACGAUCAGUAGCCGGACUGAGAGGUUGAUCGGCCACAUUGGGACUGAGACACGGCCCAGACUCCUACGGGAGGCAGCAGUGGGGAAUAUUGCGCAAUGGGGGAAACCCUGACGCAGCAACGCCGCGUGCGGGACGAAGGCCUUCGGGUUGUAAACCGCUUUCAGCAGGGAAGACAUAGACGGUACCUGCAGAAGAAGCUCCGGCUAACUACGUGCCAGCAGCCGCGGUAAUACGUAGGGGGCGAGCGUUAUCCGGAUUCAUUGGGCGUAAAGCGCGCGUAGGCGGCCGCCUAAGCGGAACCUCUAAUCCCGGGGCUCAACCUCGGGCCGGGUUCCGGACUGGGCGGCUCGAGUGCGGUAGAGGCAGGCGGAAUUCCCGGUGUAGCGGUGGAAUGCGCAGAUAUCGGGAAGAACACCGAUGGCGAAGGCAGCCUGCUGGGCCGCCACUGACGCUGAGGCGCGAAAGCUGGGGGAGCGAACAGGAUUAGAUACCCUGGUAGUCCCAGCCGUAAACGAUGGACGCUAGGUGUGGGGGGACGAUCCCCCCGUGCCGCAGCCAACGCAUUAAGCGUCCCGCCUGGGGAGUACGGCCGCAAGGCUAAAACUCAAAGGAAUUGACGGGGGCCCGCACAAGCAGCGGAGCAUGUGGCUUAAUUCGAAGCAACGCGAAGAACCUUACCAGGGCUUGACAUAUGGGUGAAGCGGGGGAGACCCCGUGGCCGAGAGGAGCCAUGCAGCACCUGUCUCACGGUUCCCG